rnacentral:lncRNA from 10 species
AAGACUGUGACCUCUACCCCAUGGAGGAUGCCCAUCGCCUGAGGAUGAACCCCCACUCCAGAUCAAAAUAUAAAGGAGCAGGGUUGCAGCUCACCUGGGCUGGGGAUUACCCGGACUCUUCAGAAAACAAAACUUACACUUUGUCAUGGAGCAGCUAGAAAUUCACCUCAACAUACUCAAUAAUUCAGCAUGUUUGAGCACAUAUUCCAUGCCAGGCACAGUGCUGGAACAGGGACAGCUGGAACAAAGUGGGAGACCCUCUAGCCACCAGGAUCCCAGAGAAGAAGCGAAGUGACUUGCCUAGAACACCAACCAAAAAUGACGGAGCCAAAAGGGCCAGAGCUGGGUCAAGGAGGAAGGAGGAGAAGGAAGAGCAUCCUUUAGCCGCCCUCUGACUCUGCCUUUUCGGGUCUCGCUCCUGGCCUCACUGUAGACAUCAUCCCCAGGCACACCUCCUCCGCACCUCCUUCCUGCUAUAGAGUACAGUCCCACAGUGUCGCUUGCCCCAGGCUAGAGUGCAGCAGUGUGAUCAUAGCUCACUGCCAUCUUGAAUUCCUCUGCUCAAGUCAUCCUCCCACAUCAGCCUCCCAAGCAGCUGGGACUACAGGUGUGCACCAUCAUGGCCAGCUAACUUUGUACUGUCUGUAGAGACGGAAUUUUGCUAUGUUACCCAGGCUGGUCUCAAACCCGAGGGCUCAAGCAAUCCUCCUGCCUCAGCCUCCCAAAGUCCUGGGAUUAAAGGCAUGAGUCACCAUGCCCAGCCAGUGGUUGAAACUCUUAUUAUGGCCAUUCUGCGGAUGAGAAGACUGAGUCAUCAGGAGGCAGGGCUUGCCAAGGUCACUGUGUUGGGGAAACACAGUCAGGAUAUGAACUCAGGCUCUUGGGGUCCCUGCUGGUCACUGUCACCCCGUGGCCCUUCUGAAGAAUGUCACAGGAAAGCAAAGCUGAGAGGGCCUCGUGAACUCAUCCAUGCCUGUCUCCCACACUGACCUGCACCUUUGGUCCCAGAGGUGCUUAUGAAAGACAGAUGCUCAGAUCCCUCCUUAGAGAGUCAGAUUCAGGAGGUCUGAUGUGAAUCCCAGAGACCUGGAAUUUUACUGAUGGCCCAGAUAAUUUUUAUGGUCAGAUACUGACCUAAUUCCACCCAGUUUCCCACUAAAUUUUGUAAGUGAGGAAAGCAAUGCAGAAGAGUUACAGGAAGGCCCAGUGUUACAUGCCCAGGUCAUGGCCCAGGGCCAAGCCAGCCCCAAAGGUGGGACCCUGGUUCUCUUAGCCUUCCCUGACACCUGUCACCCUGGCUGCUGCUCCAGGGAACCCUCUCUCGGGAGAAGCUUGAGCAAAUGUUGAUCUUCCCAGAACAGGGGUCUACAGAAUCCAGAGGUGUGGAAACAGUGGGAUGCUAAUAGCUGUUAGAAUUUUGGUUCAUCCAUAGAUCCAAACUUUGAAGCAUUGAGACAAAAGAUAGCUGUGCUUUGAUAGAGAAAAUAGAUAAGAAAAGGGUGUGAAAUCUGAGUGUCACAACAGAGGCAGAAGCAGAUGGAAACUAGGUUUCUGGAGUAGGGGAGGUGGGGACCAACUUUGUUUCUCCUGCUUUUACCUUGUCCUAGUUGGAAUCAUCUCUCCUCAUCCCAGUUACAAAGCCAGAGAGGAUUUACAGUCAAAGCAUCUACACCAGCAGUCCCUCUUACUGACACUGAUCAGACAGGGAGGUAGAACUGAUGGAAAACACAGCACAGCAUCAGAAGCAUAGCUUGGGAGCUUAUUAGCAGCAAAGUGCUGUUCUCUGCGGCAUUUUCUGGUGCUCCAGAAAUACAUCCCCUUGGAUGGAGAUACUACCGGGCCAUCUAAUGUGAAAUUUUCUGCUGGAGUGGUUAACGCUGGAGAUUUCCUUGAAAAACAUCGCCACUGAGAGAGGCUGGCUUCAAGUUUCAUAUAUAUGUAUAUGUAUCUGUGUGUGUGUGUGUGUAUGUGUGUGUCCAUGUGUGUGUAU